UGAGGAAUAUUGGUCAAUGGGCGAAGGCCUGAACCAGCCAAGUAGCGUGAAGGAUGACAGCCCUAUGGGUUGUAAACUUCUUUUGGUCGGGAAUAACAGACACCACUUGUGGUGUUUUGCAUGUACCGGCCGAAUAAGGAUCGGCUAACUCCGUGCCAGCAGCCGCGGUAAUACGGAGGAUCCGAGCGUUAUCCGGAUUUAUUGGGUUUAAAGGGAGCGUAGGCGGGAAGUCAAGUCAGCUGUGAAAUGCGCACGCUCAACGUACGCCUUGCAGUUGAAACUGGUUUUCUUGAGUGCGUAAGAGGCAGGCGGAAUUCGUGGUGUAGCGGUGAAAUGCUUAGAUAUCACGAGGAACUCCAAUUGCGAAGGCAGCUUGCUAGGCCGCUACUGACGCUGAUGCUCGAAGGUGCGGGUAUCAAACAGG
rnacentral:rRNA from 2 species